rnacentral:rRNA from 1 species
CCUACGGGUGGCAGCAGUGAGGAAUAUUGGUCAAUGGACGAGAGUCUGAACCAGCCAAGUAGCGUGAAGGAUGACUGCCCUAUGGGUUGUAAACUUCUUUUAUAUGGGAAUAAAAUGUUCCACGUGUGGGAGUUUGUAUGUACCACAUGAAUAAGGAUCGGCUAACUCCGUGCCAGCAGCCGCGGUAAUACGGAGGUUCCGAGCGUUAUCCGGAUUUAUUGGGUUUAAAGGGAGCGUAGGUGGGUUGUUAAGUCAGUUGUGAAAGUUUGCGGCUCAACCAUAAGAUUGCAGUUGAAACUGGAGGUCUUGAGUGCAGGAGAGGUAGGAGGAAUUCGUGGUGUAGCGGUGAAAUGCUUAGAUAGCACGAAGAACUCCGAUUGCGAAGGCAGUUCACUGGACUGCAACUGACACUGAGGCUCGAAAGUGUGGGUAUCAAACAGGAUUAGAUACCCCGGUAGUC